CCUACGUGGCUGCAGUGGGGAAUAUUGGACAAUGGGCGAAAGCCUGAUCCAGCCAUGCCGCGUGUGUGAAGAAGGCCUUCGGGUUGUAAAGCACUUUCAGUGGGGAAGAAAGCCUUGGGGCUAAUACCCUCGAGGAAGGACAUCACCCACAGAAGAAGCACCGGCUAACUCCGUGCCAGCAGCCGCGGUAAUACGGAGGGUGCGAGCGUUAAUCGGAAUUACUGGGCGUAAAGCGCGCGUAGGCGGUCUGAUAAGCCGGUUGUGAAAGCCCCGGGCUCAACCUGGGAACGGCAUCCGGAACUGUCAGGCUAGAGUGCAGGAGAGGAAGGUAGAAUUCCCGGUGUAGCGGUGAAAUGCGUAGAGAUCGGGAGGAAUACCAGUGGCGAAGGCGGCCUUCUGGACUGACACUGACGCUGAGGUGCGAAAGCGUGGGUAGCAAACAGGAUUAGAUACCCUAGUAGUC
rnacentral:rRNA from 1 species